rnacentral:rRNA from 1 species
AUCGAACGCUGGCGGCAGGCCUAAUACAUGCAAGUCGAACGAGUGGCGGACGGGUGAGUAAUGUCUGGGAAACUGCCUGAUGGAGGGGGAUAACUACUGGAAACGGUAGUUAAUACCGCAUACCAUCAGAUUUGCCCAGAUGGGCUUAGCUUGUUGGUGGGGUAACGGCUCACCAGGGCGACGAGCCCUAGCUGGUCUGAGAGGAUGACCAGCCACACUGGAACUGAGACACGGUCCAAACUCCUACGGGAGGCAGCAGUGGGGAAUAUUGCGCAAUGGGCGCAAGCCUGAUGCAGCCAUGCCGCGUGAAUGAAGAAGGCCUUCGGGUUGUAAAGUACUUUCGGCGGGGAGGCGGUACCCGCAUAGAAAGCACCGGCUAACUCCGUGCCAGCAGCCGCGGUAAUUC